rnacentral:rRNA from 1 species
UUAAGUUAUUAAGGGCGCACGGUGGAUGCCUUGGCACUAGAAGCCGAUGAAGGACGUUACUAACGACGAUAUGCUUUGGGGAGCUGUAAGUAAGCUUUGAUCCAGAGAUUUCCGAAUGGGGAAACCCAGCAUGAGUUAUGUCAUGUUAUCGAUAUGUGAAUACAUAGCAUAUCAGAAGGCACACCCGGAGAACUGAAACAUCUUAGUACCCGGAGGAAGAAAAAGAAAAUUCGAUUCCUUUAGUAGCGGCGAGCGAAACGGGAAGAGCCCAAACCAACAAGCUUGCUUGUUGGGGUUGUAGGACACUCUAUACGGAGUUACAAAGGACGACAUUAGACGAAUCAUCUGGAAAGAUGAAUCAAAGAAGGUAAUAAUCCUGUAGUCGAAAAUGUUGUCUCUCUUGAGUGGAUCCUGAGUACGACGGAACACGUGAAAUUCCGUCGGAAUCUGGGAGGACCAUCUCCUAAGGCUAAAUACUCUCUAGUGACCGAUAGUGAACCAGUACCGUGAGGGAAAGGUGAAAAGCACCCCGGAAGGGGAGUGAAAUAGAACCUGAAACCGUGUGCUUACAAGUAGUCAGAGCCCGUUAAUGGGUGAUGGCGUGCCUUUUGUAGAAUGAACCGGCGAGUUACGAUUUGAUGCAAGGUUAAGCAGUAAAUGUGGAGCCGUAGCGAAAGCGAGUCUGAAUAGGGCGUUUAGUAUUUGGUCGUAGACCCGAAACCAGGUGAUCUACCCUUGGUCAGGUUGAAGUUCAGGUAACACUGAAUGGAGGACCGAACCGACUUACGUUGAAAAGUGAGCGGAUGAACUGAGGGUAGCGGAGAAAUUCCAAUCGAACCUGGAGAUAGCUGGUUCUCUCCGAAAUAGCUUUAGGGCUAGCCUCAAGUGAUGAUUAUUGGAGGUAGAGCACUGUUUGGACGAGGGGCCCCUCUCGGGUUACCGAAUUCAGACAAACUCCGAAUGCCAAUUAAUUUAACUUGGGAGUCAGAACAUGGGUGAUAAGGUCCGUGUUCGAAAGGGAAACAGCCCAGACCACCAGCUAAGGUCCCAAAAUAUAUGUUAAGUGGAAAAGGAUGUGGCGUUGCCCAGACAACUAGGAUGUUGGCUUAGAAGCAGCCAUCAUUUAAAGAGUGCGUAAUAGCUCACUAGUCGAGUGACACUGCGCCGAAAAUGUACCGGGGCUAAACAUAUUACCGAAGCUGUGGAUUGUCCUUUGGACAAUGGUAGGAGAGCGUUCUAAGGGCGUUGAAGCAUGAUCGUAAGGACAUGUGGAGCGCUUAGAAGUGAGAAUGCCGGUGUGAGUAGCGAAAGACGGGUGAGAAUCCCGUCCACCGAUUGACUAAGGUUUCCAGAGGAAGGCUCGUCCGCUCUGGGUUAGUCGGGUCCUAAGCUGAGGCCGACAGGCGUAGGCGAUGGAUAACAGGUUGAUAUUCCUGUACCACCUAUAAUCGUUUUAAUCGAUGGGGGGACGCAGUAGGAUAGGCGAAGCGUGCGAUUGGAUUGCACGUCUAAGCAGUAAGGCUGAGUAUUAGGCAAAUCCGGUACUCGUUAAGGCUGAGCUGUGAUGGGGAGAAGACAUUGAGUCUUCGAGUCGUUGAUUUCACACUGCCGAGAAAAGCCUCUAGAUAGAAAAUAGGUGCCCGUACCGCAAACCGACACAGGUAGUCAAGAUGAGAAUUCUAAGGUGAGCGAGCGAACUCUCGUUAAGGAACUCGGCAAAAUGACCCCGUAACUUCGGGAGAAGGGGUGCUCUUUAGGGUUAACGCCCAGAAGAGCCGCAGUGAAUAGGCCCAAGCGACUGUUUAUCAAAAACACAGGUCUCUGCUAAACCGUAAGGUGAUGUAUAGGGGCUGACGCCUGCCCGGUGCUGGAAGGUUAAGAGGAGUGGUUAGCUUCUGCGAAGCUACGAAUCGAAGCCCCAGUAAACGGCGGCCGUAACUAUAACGGUCCUAAGGUAGCGAAAUUCCUUGUCGGGUAAGUUCCGACCCGCACGAAAGGCGUAACGAUUUGGGCACUGUCUCAACGAGAGACUCGGUGAAAUCAUAGUACCUGUGAAGAUGCAGGUUACCCGCGACAGGACGGAAAGACCCCGUGGAGCUUUACUGUAGCCUGAUAUUGAAAUUCGGCACAGCUUGUACAGGAUAGGUAGGAGCCUUUGAAACGUGAGCGCUAGCUUACGUGGAGGCGCUGGUGGGAUACUACCCUAGCUGUGUUGGCUUUCUAACCCGCACCACUUAUCGUGGUGGGAGACAGUGUCAGGCGGGCAGUUUGACUGGGGCGGUCGCCUCCUAAAAGGUAACGGAGGCGCUCAAAGGUUCCCUCAGAAUGGUUGGAAAUCAUUCAUAGAGUGUAAAGGCAUAAGGGAGCUUGACUGCGAGACCUACAAGUCGAGCAGGGUCGAAAGACGGACUUAGUGAUCCGGUGGUUCCGCAUGGAAGGGCCAUCGCUCAACGGAUAAAAGCUACCCCGGGGAUAACAGGCUUAUCUCCCCCAAGAGUUCACAUCGACGGGGAGGUUUGGCACCUCGAUGUCGGCUCAUCGCAUCCUGGGGCUGUAGUCGGUCCCAAGGGUUGGGCUGUUCGCCCAUUAAAGCGGUACGCGAGCUGGGUUCAGAACGUCGUGAGACAGUUCGGUCCCUAUCCGUCGUGGGCGUAGGAAAUUUGAGAGGAGCUGUCCUUAGUACGAGAGGACCGGGAUGGACAUACCUCUGGUGUACCAGUUGUCGUGCCAACGGCAUAGCUGGGUAGCUAUGUGUGGACGGGAUAAGUGCUGAAAGCAUCUAAGCAUGAAGCCCCCCUCAAGAUGAGAUUUCCCAACUUCGGUUAUAAGAUCCCUCAAAGAUGAUGAGGUUAAUAGGUUCGAGGUGGAAGCAUGGUGACAUGUGGAGCUGACGAAUACUAAUCGAUCGAAGACUUAAUCAA